UUCCUUUAACCCACCAUUGCUAUUUUGUGUAUCAGAGUAUGAGAUUUCAUUAAACUCAUAUUUAUUGGAAAAAUAAAUAAUCAUAAAAACUAUUAAUCUGAUUUCUUUAUGAUUAAUUCCCUGUCAUUUAUUUUUUUUUUCAAAUAUUCAUACAAAUUAUAUCCCCUACUUGGUUAAUUGUGGACAUAUUUAUACAAACUUGUUAAUCAAAUAUGUCAUUUUUUAAUCCAAUUACUAAUUGGUUAGUCCAAUUUUGCAAAUAGUGUACGCAUAUUGCAUGUUAUUGACAGCCUUUUAAAUUUUGAGAAUGUAAAUAUAAUAUGUGAUUUGUCAAUGCAAUUGACAAACAGGUAGCGCCAUUUGUAUUCCAUCGUGCAAUUGACAAACGAAGCAGUGCCAUUUGCAUUCCAAUCAUUUAGUUUGAUACUUUUAAUCUGUUUUCUGUGAUCCUCUCCCAUUGUUUACGCGUUUCUAUUUUUUGAUAAUUUGGGUACGCUGAUAUGAAUGUGAUGGAUUGACAAUUAGGUAUGCUGAUAUGCAUAUGUGAUUUUUAUCUCCUUUGCUCUUCUCGUGAGCAAUUUCUCUGUUCUAGUGUUGUUGUAUUUUUUUUUGAAUGGUGCAGUUUAUUGUUUGCUUGAACUCCCAGUUCUAUAUAUGAUCAUGAUUUUUGAGCUUGGACAAUUUACUUUUCUUGUAUGUUAGUUAUAUGAUACGUUAAUAUGCAUGUUUCUUUUUUGUGAUAUUUUCUUUAAGGUUUUGCAUAAUCAGAAUGGUUAGAUGCACUAAAUUCCAUAGUUUGUGAUCUUUAGGUGUUUAAUUUAGGUGAUACAUAGAAAAGAAAAAUAAUCAAAUGACAAAGGUUGUUUGGUAAUUGACAAUAAAGGUCGUUUGGCAAUUGACAAUCAGUCGGUCGGUUUUUGCAAAGUUGAAUGGCAAUUACAUAGAGUCUGUUUGUCGAUUGCAUUGUUGUGAGAUGUGAAUGUGUUGUAGCAAAAUAAGGAAAUUUGUCUGAGAUUGCAAGUCGGCAUGAUGGAUGUUGAGAUAUUGGAGUGCAAACUGGAGUGAGGGCUUUUCCAAGUGGCUUUAGGAGUUUAAUUAGUUUAAGUUAUUUAUUUUAUUUUACUUUCCUUUUUUAAUAAGGACUUGUUGUCCAAGUUAGGUUAGGAUUUUUAAUUAGUUUUUUUUCAUAUUCCUUCUGGCUGUGGGUAGCAUAUAACAAGGGCUACUCGUUAUUUUGAUUAAGGUAUGCAUCGGAAAUCACAAACAUGGUCUUCUUUGUGUCGGUUGUGACAAUUGGAAUACUAGUAUACUUCCAUUUUAUUGUUUAAAAAAAGAAAAAGAAAAAAAAGAAAUGGAGAUAAGCACGUAAACACAUAUUUGCAAUACCAUAGAGUUGCAAGGGUAAAAUAAAUAUAAGUUAUAAAAUUUGAAUUGUAACAUACAUUUGGACAAGUUUAAUUAUUUCCCCUAAAAAUAUUUGAAUUAAUUAAGGGUAAAAUAAAUACAAGUUAAAACAGAUAGAAAAUAUUAGGUCAUACGGAUGGAAAAUUCUACGAUGGGCAUGGCGCAUGGAUGCGCCCACUGUUAUAGACCAUUGGAUAAAUAGUUGGUGAUGUGGAGUUAUCCACACCGUUGUGUUAGUUACCGGAUCAAUCGGAUGUUGUAGGUAAAAAAAAAAAAAAAAAAAAAAAAGCAAAAACUCUCCUUCAGUCUGACAUUCAAGUCGAGUUAGGGUAGGGUUUCUCUUCUCUCUCUCUUUCCUCUCCUCCUCGUAUGACGACGAGACAGCGCGACGAACAAGACUCCUCUCCUCUCAGGUUGGGGUAAAGAAUUAGGCCAAGUACAUGACUAAUAUACUAUUUUGGAGUCUAUUUAUUUGGCAACUUGAAUUUGUAAUAUUUUCAUUGUAUCUUGAGAUUGUAUUUUUUUUAUAAAAAAAAAAAUACAUAAUUACUUAAGAUUUUAGAUUUAUAAUUGUUGGUUAUGUAGAGUGAAUGUAUUUUUACAAUACUUUCAAUUACAUGAGUGAAGUUUAUGUUGGCUUUGAUGAGGAUAUAAUACCAUUAAGAAUAAGCUUUUAAAGUAAAUUUGACUGUUAUAUCAUAGUUUAUGUGCCAAUUGAAACAAUCAUCCCAUUAGCAUUGUGAAUGGGCAUUGUACCAUAAAGUUGUAUUUUGAGAUUAGUGUAUGGGCAUUGU